AUACAGGGGGUGCGAGCGUUAAUCGGAAUUACUGGGCGUAAAGAGUACGUAGGCGGUUGCUUAAGUCAGAUGUGAAAGCCCCGGGCUCAACCUGGGAACUGCAUUUGAAACUGAGUGACUAGAGUUUAAGAGAGGGGAGUAGAAUUCCGGGUGUGGCGGUGAAAUGCGUAGAGAUCCGGAGGAAUACCAGUGGCGAAGGCGGCUCCCUGGCUUAAAACUGACGCUGAGGUACGAAAGCAUGGGUAGCAAACAGGAUUAGAAACCCCAGUAGUCC
rnacentral:rRNA from 1 species